CACCCUCCAGCCAAACCGUUGUGAGGACUGAUUGCAGGGGAGCUGGGGCUCCAGAUGUUGCACUAGAGGCGCCGGGAGUGUGAGCAGGUUAUGGUGGACCUGCAUUACAGGUUGCAGCAGAUGUUCUCAAUAUUUCUAUUGGAAUUUUCUUAUUUCUACCUGCAAGGGGAGCCCCAGAGCCUCAUCCCUGUGGUAGCUUCCAUGACCUGGUAGCUUUGGCUAGAAAAUUGACUAGAUCAGCGAGCCCAUCUUCACUAUGGGAAAACAACGUGAAGUUCAUCUCUGUAGAUGGUCUUGUGAGAUGACCAUGAACUAAACUACAGCCAUCGAAUACUACUGUUUUCAAUCUGACUUGGUGUUGUUUACCUCUUGGCACAGUUGUACCUUUGGAGUCCAGAAGCAUUGUUAUACUUUUUCAGGCA